AAAGAGUUCAUACCGUAGAAAUCAUCAAGAACACUAAACCUAGAGAAAUUAAUUUUAAUUGGAGACGAACCAAUAUCUCAUCCAGACGUAAAAUGAAGUUUUUGCAUUUUUAAUAAUGGGCUUGGCUACAUUGAAUCAAUUCCAAAGCACACUCGCGUUUAUAAACAGGGAACGUAAGAGUGAAACGACGUAGCGCCCCUCCACGUAAAUAGAGAUCGUGUUCUGGCUUCCCACCGCCGUCCAUUUUGGUCGCCGGCCGCCGUCCCUCAACCGCCUGGUUCUCUCUCUCUCUCUCUCCAAGAUUCUGUCUCCGACAACAACAGAUUUGGGAUUCCUCUCUCCAAAAGCAAACUUUGAGUCUUCUGAGUCUACCAUAUAUGUCAAAUUUCAGAAAAAAAAACUCAGGAUGGCUUUUUGAAGUGGAAUUGUAGCUUACCGGUCGAGAUAUGGGAUGUGGAAUAUCAGCUUCUGUGGCCAUCUUCUCAUGCGGAGUACUGAUUAUAAUCAGCUGCUAGUGUUCUGAAUCUUUUGAUGAACCUUUCUGCUGAAAUCCCAUAGAGAGGUUAUUACAAGUUGAUUCUGAAUUCCUUGUAGCUUUGAGUGUGAGAGAAAUAGAAACUUAUUCAUGCAUGUCUUGAAUCUUGACAACUAUGUAGCAAAAGUAGGCACAACCGACAAAAUACUGCUUGGGUAUGCUCUAUUAUUUUGGUGGGUUGGCAAGAUCUGUAUUGGCUCUACUGAAUUGGCAUUCACAUGCUUUAGUGAAAUUGCAUAACUAAUAACAGUUCAUACCUUUCCACUAA